rfam:Triticum aestivum genome assembly, contig: Triticum_aestivum_CS42_TGACv1_scaffold_592887_7BS
UUGAUACUUCCUUCGUACGGAAAUAUUUGUCAUCAAAAUGAAUAAAAAGGGAUGUAUCUAGAUGUAUUUUAAUUCUAGAUACAUCCCUUUUUGUCCAUUUUGAUGACAAGUAUUUUUGGACGGAGGAAGUACCAA